rnacentral:rRNA from 1 species
UACGUAGGGACCAAGCGUUGUUCGGAUUUACUGGGCGUAAAGGGCGCGUAGGCGGCGUGUCACGUCGGCCGUGAAAACCUGCAGCUUAACUGUGGGCGUGCGGUCGAUACGGGCAUCACUGGAGUUCGGCAGGGGAGACUGGAAUUCCUGGUGUAGCGGUGAAAUGCGCAGAUAUCAGGAGGAACACCGGUGGCGAAGGCGGGUCUCUGGGCCGAUACUGACGCUGAGGAGCGAAAGCGUGGGGAGCAAACAGG